CUCAUGAUUGCUCUGAGAAGGGCGCUGACUUUGAAGGACGGAGUGGCCAGGCAGCGUGCAGUGGCCACCAUGGAGGCUGUGAAAGGACCUGACACCCCGAUGCUCGUCACCAGCUCCGCCAGGUUGGGGGUCAGCCGGAAUGGAACGGAUCCUCCCUACCUUUGGCAUCAUCAAUGUUGAACUUGAAGUAAGCUACGUUGAUGAGCCCCGAGUCCUGGUGGACAUACAUCAUGUCCGGGUACAGCUUGGUCAGGUGCAGCAGGUACUCCAUGAGGCCGAUCAGGGCCAGCUGCACUGUGAGCUGAUAAGGAACAAACAAAAUAAUCUGAGUGGGGAGGAAGCAGCCAAGUAGAUAUCCUGUCAAUUCCAACUACAACAGCACCAUUGGAGAAAUGGAGCAAUGCAGGUCAGGUGAGAAGAAUCACUACAAACUCUCUCAAUGCUCCACUGGCAAGAACUGACUGCCCACUCCUUUGAAGGCGGUCUGAAGGUACUCUGGGCCUGAGAUAAGGUGAGGCAGGGAUAUCAGGGACAGGCUUAAGUGGUCGAGGGUGGGAGAC